ACGGAAGGCAGCAGUGGGGAAUAUUGGUCAAUGGGGGCAACCCUGAACCAGCGACGCCGCGUGAGUGAAGAAGUAUUUCGGUAUGUAAAGCUCUAUCAGCAGGGAAGAUAAUGACAGUACCUGACUAAGAAGCACCGGCUAAAUACGUGCCAGCAGCCGCGGUAAUACGUAUGGUGCAAGCGUUAUCCGGAUUUACUGGGUGUAAAGGGAGCGUAGGCGGUCUGGCAAGUCUGACGUGAAAACCCGGGGCUUAACCUCGGGAUUGCAUUGGAAACUGUCGGACUUGAGUGUCGGAGAGGAAAGCGGAAUUCCUAGUGUAGCGGUGAAAUGCGUAGAUAUUAGGAGGAACACCAGUGGCGAAGGCGGCUUACUGGACGGUAACUGACGUUGAGGCUCGAAAGCGUGGGGAGCAAACAGGAUUAGAUACCCUGGUA
rnacentral:rRNA from 1 species